GUACGCUGGCGGCGUGCUUACACAUGCAGUCGAACGAACUUCGGGUUAGUGGCGGACGGGUGAGUAACGCGUGAGAAUCUGCCCUCAGGAGGGGGACAACAGCUGGAAACGGCUGCUAAUACCCCAUAUGCCGCGAGGUGAAAUGAAUUUCGCCUGAGGAUGAGCUCGCGUCUGAUUAGCUAGUUGGUGUAGGUAAUGGCUCACCAAGGCAUCGAUCAGUAGCUGGUCUGAGAGGAUGAUCAGCCACACUGGGACUGAGACACGGCCCAGAACUCCUACGGGAGGCAGCAGUGGGGAAUUUUCCGCAAUGGGCGAAAGCCUGACGGAGCAACGCCGCGUGAGGGAUGAAGGCCUCUGGGCUGUAAACCUCUUUUAUCAAGGAAGAAGAUCUGACGGUACUUGAUGAAUAAGCCACGGCUAAUUCCGUGCCAGCAGCCGCGGUAAUACGGGAGUGGCAAGCGUUAUCCGGAAUUAUUCGGGCGUAAAGCGUCCGCAGGCGGCCCUUCAAGUCUGCUGUUAAAAAGUGGAGCUUAACUCCAUCAUGGCAGUGGAAACUGUUGGGCUUGAGUGUGGUAGCGGGCAGAGGGAAUUCCCGGUGUACGGUGAAAUGCGUAGAUCAUCGGGAAGAACACCAGUGGCGAAGGCGC
rnacentral:rRNA from 1 species